UAAAAUCAUAUGCUUUUAUUUAACAUAAAAUGAAACAUUAAGAUAAAAUACACAUUUAUCCAUGUGCUGAAGAACUAUUGUAUUUUACAUUCAUUUAUGAAGCAGGUAGUUUUACAUGACAAAAAUAAGGAGUGAGGGGAAGAGGAACUUAAUCUGCAGUAAGACAUAAGCCACAAGGCAGGCUUUCGCUUUUCAAAGUGCUACCUCCUCUGGACACACAUAUCUUAAAGUGACAAGAUACAAAUAUACUGUUUUUAGCACUCCUCAGAUCCUUCUUAAUGCUGGUGAGAAGCUAAGGUGGAAUCUUAUACAGCAGACCCCGAAGCAGACUUUUAAAAUUAUUUUUAUUUUUCAUUUGGGGAGAGAAUCAGUUUACUAGAAUGACCUCUGCCAAUCUGCAAAAUUAUGGGCCACACGUCUCUCUGCUGUGAUUGCUGGUUUAAUGGAACUGACCCAUUAAGUUUCUUUAAAUGCCUGGAAAUUGGGUCAUUUCCUUAUUAAGGAGGAGAGUGAAUUACAAUAAUCUUAUUGUUCAGUACAAACUUAUCACUGGAUAACAACAGAAAAUGACCAUUUCUUAUUUAAGUUAGAUUGCUUGCCUCCGCUAGUUUGCAAAGGGACUAUUUUAGAAUCCAAUUGCCAACUGGAGGCAUCAACUAUCAGGUCACUUUCCCCAGUGUUGGGACUGGGGUUCAGCUGUGACAUCUUAUUAUAAAAGACCAAAUCCAGGAAUAUUAAUCUCUUGGCAUAGCUCUUUGAAUAGAAACACGAUUUAGCCUCUGAGAGGUGCAACUGAAAGAAAACCCACAGGGGAAAAGCUGGCUUCUAAGUUUUAAAUGGAGCAGGAAGGGAUGGGAGCUGCAGCAGUGCUAGCAGGACUAGGAAUGUUUAGACAAAAAGUGCAGCAGAUCAAAACAAUACAUACUAUAUUUUUUUUUCUAACCCAUAUAUUUUAAAUAUUAAAACAAAUAUAAAAGCUGUAAUUCUACAUCAGGCUUGUGGUAACUCAAACUUUGUUCUCAAAAUUAAUGUCACCAGAAUCCUGAGAUGGACUUACAGCCUUUUUAGGUACAUUUAUGUAAAAUAUAGUUGUAUAUAUACACACACAUAUACACUCUAGUUAUAUAUACAUAUACACAUCCAAACAGUGUAACCUUCUGCUAGAUAGUGCAACUGUUCAGAGUGAAAACCCCUUUGAAUGUGCAGACUGCAAUUCAGAGAAAGAAAGAUAAAAUGCCUUUACUAAAAAACAAUCUCACUUCGUGUAUGUAAAUAGAGGCCUGGCAUAUUUUGGGGUGUUUGGAAAAUAAUCAUAAUAAUAACAAAACUGUCCGAGUUUUCUUUAAAGUCAAUUUCCCUUCCCACAAACCUCGAUCAGAGAGUUAUUGUAAACACAAUUCUUGUUUAUCUGAGAGAUUCCAGCAGUUUUUGCAGGGAGGUUUGGGCUAUGGGAAACACAGUGGCUCCAAUUUGGGGAUACACCUGAGCUGAGGGCAGCCCCAUGCAA